UAAACUCUAAGUUAGGAAUUCUAUUUUAUGUCAAUUAGGACUCUUUCAUUUGUUAUUAGCAGUCUAUAAAAGGCUGCCAAUAUGAAAUAAAGAGGUAAGCAAUUAUUCUAUCAAAAGAAACGUUAUUUUGAGAGGGGGUUCAGUCAAGGACGAAUCUGCCUUUUUGAGUAACCAUAGGUCGAAGCAAGAAUUCUUUCUCGUCUAGACCUGUGACUAGAUCUUACGCCAAGGCGCAUAACAACUUGGUAUCGGAGCCAGCUGUCAUGGGUGACGAAAAAACUUUGACAGCCAAGCUGGAGGCAUUCAUGGAACAAAUGGCUACAAGGCAACAAGCAUUGGAGGAGCAGGUGGCGAUGUUAUCUCUUUCGGUUCAAAAGACAACGAAAGGGGAUUCAGAAAAAAAUAAUGAAGAACAAGGCAGCAAUGGAGGCAAGAAAAGAAAUUCAGAUUCGCAACACGGUGGGGCCAUGGUGCCACGAUACUCUAAGAUGGAAUUUCCCACUUGGGGUUGGAGAUCCUUUAGGAUGGUUAAAAAGAUGCAAAAAUUUUUUUGGCAAUCAACGGACCAACGAAGAAGACAAAGUCGACCUAGCUUCAUUCCAUCUUUUAAGAGAGGCACAAUUAUGGUUUGAUCAAAUCGAAAAAGAGGAGGCAAAUCUGGAUUGGGAACGCUUCAGAGAGUGUUGUCAUAUCAGGUUUGGGCCACCUAUGAGUAAUAACCCCUUGGGGGAACUUGCAAACUUGAGACAAACUGGGACGGUAGAAGAAUAUCAACGCCAAUUUCAAUCACUACUUGCUAGGACUACUGAUCUUAAACCUCGACAACAAGUAAACCUUUUCACUGCUGGAUUGGUAGGGGAACUUAGAAUUGAUAUUGAGAUGCAACAACCGGGAAACCUUGGAGUUGCAAUGAAUAUGGCUCGAGCUUUGGAACGUAAACAAAAAGUUUCUUCCAAGAUGUUAUCUCAAACCAAUCUAAACUGGUCAACUUCCCAAAACACUGACAGCAAUUCAAUCAUUCCAACAACUCAGAACAUUGCAAAGGGAGGGGGACAAACAAUAGAACCAACAGGGAACAACGGCAAAAUAGGUUCUUCUGCACCAUUUAUUAAGAGAUUGACACGGAUAGAAAUGGCGGAAAGAAGGGCUAAAGGGUUGUGUUAUAAUUGUGACGAGUCUUAUUCCAUGGGACACAAAUGUAAAAGGUUAUUUUGGAUAGAAGUACCAGAUGUUGAAGGCAAGCAAGAUGAUGAUGAGAUAGAUGAUUUUGGAUAAGUUCUGAAGUUUAUUUUGAAUUUGAGCAUGAGGACAAGCUCAAUUCCGAGAAGGGGAGUAAUGAUAUGGACACUUUAAUUGCAAUAGGAGUUUUUAGUUUUAUUUAUUUAUUUAUUAUAUCAGGUUUUACUAAGAGUUUUAGUUUUACUAUAUUAGGUUUUUGUUUCCUUCAUAAACUCUAAGGUAGGAAUUCUAUUUUAUGUCAAUUAGGACUCUUUCAUUUGUUAUUAACAGUCUAUAAAAGGCUGCCAAUAUGAAAUAAAGAGGUAAGCAAUUAUUCUAUCAAAAGAAACGUUAUUUUGAGAGGGGGUUCAGUCAAGGACGAAUCUGCUUUUUUGAGUAACCAUAGGUCGAAGCAAGAAUUCUUUCUCGUCUAGACCUGUGACUAGAUCUUACGCCAAGGCGCAUAACAGUUUCAUGAUUGACAAUUAAUAUAUUAUUAAUUUGCAAACUGUUCAUUCUUUACGAGUGAAUAAUUUUCCAAUAUAUGCAGACACUGACUGCUAUUGAGCUUUUUGUUUACAGUUAUGCUGCAAGGUGCCUUAGGUUCCUAUUUUGUUGCUUCUUAUGUUAUAAUUUUCUUUGGCAGACUUGUGUCCUGUGCUGAAACUGAAAUUCAUGCCUUUGCAUAAAUAACAAUGGAGACUGCAAACCCAAGUAUUUAAAAUUUGUCACUCUUGUAAACCCUUCCCAUUAAUAUGUCUUGCUUAGUG
rnacentral:lncRNA from 1 species